rnacentral:rRNA from 1 species
CGGCGGACGGGUGAGUAACGCGUGGGCAACCUGCCUUACACAGGGGGAUAACAGUUAGAAAUGACUGCUAAUACCGCAUAAGACCACAGAGCUGCAUGGCUAAGUGGUAAAAACUCCGGUGGUGUAAGAUGGGCCCGCGUCUGAUUAGGUAGUUGGUGAGGUAACGGCUCACCAAGCCGACGAUCAGUAGCCGACCUGAGAGGGUGACCGGCCACAUUGGGACUGAGACACGGCCCAGACUCCUACGGAAGGCAGCAG